UAACACAUGCAAGUCGAACGGUAGCACAGAGGAGCUUGCUCCUUGCGGUGACGAGUGGCGGACGGGUGAGUAAUGUCUGGGAAACUGCCCGAUGGAGGGGGAUAACUACUGGAAACGGUAGCUAAUACCGCAUAACGUCGCAAGACCAAAGAGGGGGACCUUCGGGCCUCUUGCCAUCGGAUGUGCCCAGAUGGGAUUAGCUAGUAGGUGGGGUAACGGCUCACCUAGGCGACGAUCCCUAGCUGGUCUGAGAGGAUGACCAGCCACACUGGAACUGAGACACGGUCCAGACUCCUACGGGAGGCAGCAGUGGGGAAUAUUGCACAAUGGGCGCAAGCCUGAUGCAGCCAUGCCGCGUGUAUGAAGNNAGGCCUUCGGGUUGUAAAGUACUUUCAGCGAGGAGGAAGGCAUUAAGGUUAAUAACCUUAGUGAUUGACGUUACUCGCAGAAGAAGCACCGGCUAACUCCGUGCCAGCAGCCGCGGUAAUACGGAGGGUGCAAGCGUUAAUCGGAAUUACUGGGCGUAAAGCGCACGCAGGCGGUCUGUCAAGUCGGAUGUGAAAUCCCCGGGCUCAACCUGGGAACUGCAUCCGAAACUGGCAGGCUAGAGUCUUGUAGAGGGGGGUAGAAUUCCAGGUGUAGCGGUGAAAUGCGUAAAGAUCUGGAGGAAUACCGGUGGCGAAGGCGGCCCCUGGAACAAAGACUGACGCUCAGGUGCGAAAGCGUGGGGAGCAACAGGAUUAAAUACCCU
rnacentral:rRNA from 1 species